GAUGAAGAACGUAGUGAAAUGCGAUAAGUAGUGUGAAUUGCAGAAUUCCGUGAACCAUCGAAUCUUUGAACGCACAUUGCGCCCGCCAGUAUUCUGGCGGGCAUGCCUGUCCGAGCGUCAUCUCAACCCUCGAGCCCCCCCGGGGGCUCGGCGUUGGGGACCGGCCCCGCCCCAGGGCGCGCCGCCCCCCAAAUCCAGUGGCGGUCCCGCCGCAGCCUCCCCUGCGCAGUAGCUUGCACACUCGCACCGGAGAGCGGCGCGGCCACGCCGUAAAACCCCCCGACCACGGAGCCCCGGCUCCUGAACGUUGACCUCGGAUCAGGUAGGAAUACCCGCUGAACUUAAGCAUAUCAAUAAGCGGAGGA
rnacentral:misc_RNA from 1 species